AUCAAGAGACCUAAACAUGACUUACGUAACUUAGUGUCUUGUCCAAACGAUGCCUGUUGACCCACAAGGCUCAGUAAUGAAUAAUGCUGGGGAAAAUACAUGUAAUUGAUUUUUUUUAAAAACAUGAAAAAAGAGCACUGCUUCAUUAUUUUUAUUUUAGCUUGUAGGUUUUCAUUUUAGCCUGUGGAUUUUUUACCCACAGGCUAAAAUUAGCCUGUGGUAGAAAAAGUUAAUUUCGACCCCUGCCUUUGAUGCACGACACUGUUCUGGACUGUAUGCUCUCAGCAGUCGACUGCCUCUACGUAUUUCUUUUUUUUUUUUAUUCUCAAUCUUUUCAAGUUACGAAUUGUAUAAUAAAAAUGCCCAAACCUUUCAAGUUUGUAAAAUUGGGUUUAAACAGCACUGCCUUUGAACAUAAAAUGCAUUUCAAUAUAAUGAUAAUUUAACCCCACCACCACCAUGCGCACCUAUCUAAUUUAAAAAAAAAAUUAAAUUCAUAUGAUAAUCCCCUUGUAGCAAUGGUAUGUUCCAAAAGAGAAAAUUAGAACAAUAUUUAUAAUAUUGUACAUAAUCCUAGUUGUGACACAGUGAUGAAAUAUUUUAGCACUGAUUAUAUUUGCUGUUUGCCACUAAUACAAAAUUUUAUCACUUAGUCUAAAUAUAAUCAGAUAUCAUAUGUCUGUGUGUCUGGCAUUUUAAAAUUUAAUACCUCAACAAUAAAUUUCAAAAUCCCAAUGUUAAUGAAGAUUUUAUGAUAAAAAGAACUACAGAGAAUUUUCACCCGUAAACAUACAAUCAUUUAUUGUACCACAGGGUCUUCUUAUUCAUUUUGUUCUCAAUCUAUAUAUAAUUUAUAUAUAGCAUAUAAAAUGAGAACAAAAUGGAUAAGAAUCCCCUGUGAUUGUGUGUACAGUGUUGAAAAAAUUUCAUAAGCACCAAACAAACAACAAAACUAUUUGUCAUAUUGUAAAUUGAAGUGUUAUAACCGAGAAACUAAAAUCAUUUUAAACCAAUACAUACCAGUUUCAAAGUCUAAAGUUUUUGUGACUUUCUAAAGCAUUAAUUUUUUUAAAAUUUAGACGAACCUAAUUCUGCCCAUAUAUAUAUUUUUGCACCUUGUUUUCACUGCAAAUUACUCUCCCCGGAUUCCCCUAACCUUGUACCGUUAACCAAGAAUUGGUUUUCCUCCAUCUGUGUAAAACAAGUGCAUGUGUGACGGAAGUAGGUAAAAAUAAAUGCGCGACUCCCAUUCUUGCAAAUACUUUCAAAUAGUUAGCGAGACAAUGCUGCAGGAGCGACAUUUCAGUAAAAACUUAGUAAGUUUAACAGAAGAAAUAUAUAUCGUUUGUCCUGUACCAUUUUCUGUGCCACCAAUCAAUCGUUUACGAUUUAUGAUAUAAGUUUUCAUCUGCUUUCGAUCGCACCCUACCUGUUUAUUUAAGAAAGAAGUAUAAUAAUUACCCGUUAGGCUUAUACAGUUGUGUAUUGAGUUACCUCUACGCAUGACUUUAGGAGUGUAAAGCGUAUUUACAUUCGCGAAUGCGUAAUUGUACGCCUGAUUUUAAACUUUAAUGCGUAUUUGGUAAAAUUUAAUGAGUAUUUACGCUGAUACGCACCUUAUCUGGAGCUCUGUCAGACUGAGUACAACUUGUUUCUUUCUCUUCAAGAGGCGUUUGUGCAUGUGUACUUGUUUGUGUGUGUGUGUGUAAUAAUCAGGAUAUUAUUAGGUUCACUUCCAGUAUUAGGUUCUUGCUAGAUUAAAAUAUCUUUAAGGCACCCAGAAUGCAUAUCAGCAAUUAUAAUUACAAUCACAUAAGGGUCGGGCUGAUGAGUUUUAUAUUCAUUCAUUUUGUGACUAAAGUUACAGUUGAUUGUAAUCUUAUUGAAUAUUGUAUGAAAAGGUGAAGAUAGCAAACAGUGAUUAAUGAUAAUAAUCUCAUGUCACUCCUAAAAGGAAAUAUAAUGAUGUAAUGAUUUUAUUUCACAGUAAUGUUUUGUGUGGAUUGUGGAGAGAGGUUGCUUCCCACAAAUAAAUUUUGUGGAAACUGUGGAGCUGCUGUCUGCAAAAGAAAUGAUGUCAAGGAUAAACCUAGCUCCACAGGCACGCUGAGUCCUUGGGCCAAGGGCAAGUAUAAAUUGUAAAUUGUAAAUUAUAUGAUCCCAGGGAUAGGGGUUUUUGGUAUCAGGGUGGGGCCAAAAUGGUCAGUUAUGAAAUGUGUGAACAAUAGACAUUUUGAACUACUUGAUAACUAUCAUUCCAAUUCUUUUCAAAUUUUGUAUGAAA